rnacentral:rRNA from 1 species
AACGAACGCUGGCGGCAUGCCUAAUACAUGCAAGUCGAACGAGACCUUCGGGUCUAGUGGCGCACGGGUGCGUAACGCGUGGGAACCUGCCCUUAGGUUCGGAAUAACUCCCCGAAAGGGGUGCUAAUACCGGAUAAUGUCUUCGGACCAAAGAUUUAUCGCCUUUGGUUGGGCCCUCGUUGGAUUAGCUAGUUGGUAGGGUAAAAGCCUACAAAGGCGGCGAUCCAUAACUGGUCUGAGAGGAUGAUCAGCCACACUGGGACUGAGACACGGCCCAGACUCCUACGGGAGGAAGCAGGGGGGAAUGGUGGACAAUGGGCGAAAGCCUGAUCCAGCAAUGCCGCGUGAGUGAUGAAGGCCGUAGGGUUGUAAAGCUCUUUUACCCGGGAUGAUAAUGACAGUACCGGGAGAAUAGGCACCGGCUAACUCCGA